AAACUGGCAAGAAAAUGCCAGCUGCAUGAGGAGCUGAACCAAGGUAACCUUGAAAUAUUUCAGAUGCCACCAUGAUUAGCCACGCCCAGUGGGUCUGCACUGAGCAGGGCAGUGUUUAUCAGCCGAGCCAUCUCUUCUUUCCUCACAAGCCCUGGGAAAGGUACCACAGAACCAGUGCCCCGAAGGACCCGUGUGCCUGUCCACCAGCUGGGCCAGCAAUGGAGACAGCGCUGAUGUGUGGGAGGAAAUUGGAUCAUGAGAACACUGAAGAAAUGUGUACAGCAGAACUCAGCAAGGCAGGACCCUGAGCAAGAAGAACUGCUUACACACCAAGGAGGGAAGUGCCGAGUCCAGAGCGCAGCACUCCCUGGGUUCCUGGAUGCGAAUCCCUCAUGAGAUCAUUACAAGUGGACAGGGAAACAGAGCUCCCAACAGCCGGUGCUUGUCUGGGGAACGAGCCUGUUCCCCAGCCUCACCUUCUGUGUGCUCGCCUGGAGGAGACACCCACUGUGGCAGGGCCACGUGAGCCUGGUUCCAGGGGCGGGCUGUCCUGUUGUCCAUGAAGUGAAGGGGCA
rnacentral:lncRNA from 1 species